GGGGUUAUAGCUCAGUGGCACAGCACCUGCCUGGCAAGCAAGAGGUCCUAAGUUCAAUUCCUGGUACCA
rnacentral:tRNA from 1 species